GAUGAACGCUGGCGGCGUGCCUAAUACAUGCAAGUCGAGCGAACAGACGAGGAGCUUGCUCCUCUGACGUUAGCGGCGGACGGGUGAGUAACACGUGGAUACCUACCUAUAAGCCUGGGAUAACUUCGGGAAACCGGAGCUAAUACCGGAUAAUAUAUUUAACCGCAUGGUUCAAUAGUGAAAGACGGUUUUGCUGUCACUUAUAGAUGGAUCCGCGCCGCAUUAGCUAGUUGGUAAGGUAACGGCUUACCAAGGCGACGAUGCGUAGCCGACCUGAGAGGGUGAUCGGCCACACUGGAACUGAGACACGGUCCAGACUCCUACGGGAGGCAGCAGUAGGGAAUCUUACGCAAUGGGCGAAAGCCUGACGGAGCAACGCGGCGUGAGUGAUGAAGGUCUUCGGAUCGUAAAACUCUGUUAUUAGGGAAGAACAAAUGUGUAAGUAACUAUGCACGUCUUGACGGUACCUAAUCAGAAAGCCACGGCUAACUACGUG
rnacentral:rRNA from 1 species